GCCGGGGUGGCUCAGUCGGUUAAGCGACCGACUUCGGCUCGGGUCAUGAUCUCACGGUUUGUGGGUUCAAGCCCCGCGUCAGGCU
rnacentral:tRNA from 1 species